rnacentral:rRNA from 1 species
CUGCAGCUCAAGUGGUGACCACUAUUAUUGAGCCUAAAGCGUCCGUAGCCGGUUUGGUAAACCCUCGGGUAAAUCGAGCAGCUUAACUGUUCGAAUUCCGGGGGGACUGCCAGACUUGGGACCGGGAGAGGUCAGAGGUACUUCAGGGGUAGGGGCUAAAUCCUGUAAUCCUUGAAGGACCACCAGUGGCGAAGGCGUCUGACUAGAACGGAUCCGACGGUAAGGGACGAAACCCUGGGGCGCAAACCGGAUUAGAGACCCGUGUAGUCC